UGUAUUAAAUAAGCUUAUCACACCAUGUCCAGUAACAAUGAACGUGCAUGCGUGAACGUUGAACAAAUGCACAACGGAGUAUACUAUAUGGUGUAAUAAAUGUGUAGGCAACGAACGUCACACGCGAAUGACGAGAAGCACGAGAUGCUGCGUGCGAGAGAAUCACGAGGCUUCGUUCGCUUCCUCGUCCGCGUAUUACGUGACUCAGUUGUUGACUAGACAUUAAUUUGAAAAGUGAAAAGCGUUAUUACGUGGUCGAUCUAAUUAUGCGUUCUUUAAAGAAAAAUAUUUUAACAGACACGUUAUCAAAUCUAUUAAAUAGUUCAACUGUGCAUAUAAAUACUACACGCUUAAAUGACCCCGAGUUUUGAUUAACGACGUCCCCACUACUUUUUAGAACUGUACGUUCCAAGCAAUCUUGGAACUGUAUAAGUACGUUGAUGAUGCAACCUUACAAUUAAAUUGUUGAGAUGCGUACCAUCGAAACAAUACCAUAAGCAACAAUCAAUGUUAAUUGCGCGGUAAUUAAUUUCUAAUUCUUAAACAUUGUCGACUCUCUGAAUAUGAAUUCCAUAUGGCAGAACGUAAAACUCGAUGUUAUGAAGGUAGGACGUUGUUAUGUCUCAUUCACGAUCACGUAUUCGCAGUAGAGUGAGCCAAAGUAAGAUAACACCGGGGAUUGUAAGCGAAGAAUGGUGUACACAUAGCAUGUAGCAUAUGCGUACGCAUAUAGCAUAUCGUACAAAUCUCGUAUUCAAACAUAAAGUAAUUAAGUAAGAUUUAUUAUAACUUUAUGUAAAAUAUCGGAUGUUUAUAAUUAAAGUGGCACUCCAUUUACAUGAACGAUAUCGUAGAUUUUAAUUCACUACAUUUUAGCUGAUUUCCUAUUAUCUAAAUUAUUGCCAGGCGUCAAUCCACUUAUAUGAGCGUCUAACAUUGAAAUGUAAACAGUAGAAACAGGUGUUACGUGAAAUACUUUCAUGCUUUACAACUGAUAUAAUUUUAAUUACAACAUUGUUAUAUAUUCAAGAGCAAAUGUUCGGUGGAAUUCUCUUAUACGAACGAACUUCUAUUAACAGAACGAAAAAUCACAGAUGGUAGGGAGAAAUACGUGGCACUCCUAUCAUAUCAACGACUUAGUUAUAUGAAUCAACUUGUCCCCCGGCAAGUUCAAGUUUAUAUAUCGUUAUAUGAUCGACGUAUAGUAGAUCACGAUUUAAGUUACAUACAUGGCAAAAAUGAACACUCAUCGUCUUUGAUAUUUGAAGACUUUAUGUAUAUACGGAUUCUUGUUUCGAACAAUUUGCAUUUUCAUCCAGGAAUUACGGAGAGUCUACUUACAAAAUGUUCGAAGUCCAUCAUGUCGAUGUUCAAAGAUUUUCUUCACAGAAUUUCAGAGUUAAAGUCCACGUAUGAGAUUGUCAAUCGUCAUCGGUUGAGGCAAGGAAAGGCGCAAAUGCAAUAACACCGGUGAUGAUCUCACGUACUUAAGAUUAAAUUGUCUUAUGUGGAAUAGCUGCAAAAUUUCACGCGGUUAUGAAUAUUGAGUCAUUGAGUGUAUGAAGCAAACAUACAUCCUUUAUUAUUCGCUACAUCAUUGCGAUUUUGUCAUUGAACUUCCGAGAUCAAACCGAGGGCAUAGUUGAUUGAAUCAACUUGAAAUACGUUCGAGAGGAGUUUAAAGAGGCAGUCAAGUGAAUAGAAGUUGUUCGAGCAUUAUGAGGUAUUGUAGACUCGUACUUUCAACUGAUUUCAGUUUCUUUGUGUCGUAUAAUGAGCUGAUUGCGAGCCGUAAUAGAAGAAAAUACCGAGCUGUGAUACUUCCGAUGUAAAAUAACAAGAGAAAGGUGUUGCGAGACGAGAGAAUUCGCGCGAAUAAACUUAUCGAGCAAAGUAUACGCAUAAUUAUCAAAUUUUAAAAAAUUCGGCAACUUGGAAAUUUAGGAAUUUUUGAUAAUUUAGUAAUUUUGAGAUAGUCUCUGUGAGAUGUGAAUUUCUGACAAUUUGAACUGCACUAUUGGGACAAACAGCUACAUCCACGUAAUAUUGGAUCAUUAAAAAUAAUUAAACUAAUAGU
rnacentral:lncRNA from 1 species